rnacentral:rRNA from 1 species
UAGUCCACGCUGUAAACGAUGAUUACUCGGUGCUAGCGAUAUACUGUUAGUGCCUAAGCGAAAGCGAUAAGUAAUCCACCUGGGGAGUACGGUCGCAAGAUUGAAACUCAAAGGAAUUGACGGGGGCCCGCACAAGCGGUGGAGCAUGUGGUUUAAUUCGAUGAUACGCGAGGAACCUUACCUGGGCUUAAAUGUAUAUUGACAGAUUGGGAAACCAGUCCUUCUUCGGACAAUUUACAAGGUGCUGCAUGGUUGUCGUCAGCUCGUGCUGUGAGGUGUCGGGUUAAGUCCCAUAACGAGCGCAACCCCUAUCCUUAGUUGCCAGCGAGUAAUGUCGGGGACUCUAGGGAAACUGCCGGUGCAAACCGUGAGGAAGGUGGGGAUGACGUCAAAUCAUCACGGCCCUUACGUCCAGGGCUACACGCGUGCUACAAUGGGUGAGACAAUGAGAUGCAACUCUGUGAAGACAAGCUAAUCUAUAAACUUACUCUAAGUUCGGAUUGU